rnacentral:rRNA from 1 species
GACGAACGCUGGCGGCGUGCCUAAUACAUGCAAGUCGAGCGGACUUUCAAGAAGCUUGCUUUUUGAAAGUUAGCGGCGGACGGGUGAGUAACACGUGGGCAACCUGCCUGUAAGACGGGGAUAACUCCGGGAAACCGGGGCUAAUACCGGAUAAUAUCUUUCUUCGCAUGAAGGAAGGUUGAAGGGCGGCGCAAGCUGCCGCUUGCAGAUGGGCCCGCGGCGCAUUAGCUAGUUGGUGAGGUAACGGCUCACCAAGGCGACGAUGCGUAGCCGACCUGCGAGGGUGAUCGGCCACACUGGGACUGAGACACGGCCCAGACGCCUACGGGAGGCAGCAGUAGGGAAUCUUCCGCAAUGGACGAAAGUCUGACGGAGCAACGCCGCGUGAGCGAAGAAGGUCUUCGGAUCGUAAAGCUCUGUUGUCAGGGAAGAACAAGUACCGUGCGAAUAGGGCGGUACCUUGACGGUACCUGACCAGAAAGCCACGGCUAACUACGUGCCAGCCGCCGCAGUAA